UUCUCGUCUUGUUUUCGGUGCCUCGGCCGCGCUGGCCAUUUGGGCCAUCGUCCGACGCCCGGCCCUGCCCGGGGAGGGGUGACAGAGAGAAAGCCCCGGCAGGAACCGGGGAGGGAUGCUCGGGGUCCCCUCCGCGCACAAACCAGGCCCGUCGUCCCUGAAGGCUAUUUUAUCGCUAUUUACCCGGGCGCAUCGCCUCCUCCCGGUGAGGGAAAUGGGAGAUGUCCCGCAGGAGCUGUAGCUGGGGCUGUGCCAGAGGAACGAUUGCCGGCCCCGGUGUCGUGUCGCGGUGACACAGCCUCUGUCCGUGCUCCGCAGGUGCGGCGGGGCGGAGCCGGCCCGUGGGCGUCCCGCGGGCGACGGACUGCUGCUCAAGGUUCUGCGCCGGAGAUUUGCAACUACAGGCUGAGGUAUGCAGGGAGCCUGGUCAAUACCUACGGGGAAGAUGACUUUUAAGCUUACAUGUCUUCUAAACAGCAGUAUAGUCCUGAGCAGAGACACUUCCUCAUGCAGCAAAAUUAAUGCUCUUUUCUAACGUACAAUCUGUUUAGCUGACAAGCCUGCACCAGCUUUAAUAAACUCACAGUAUAUCCCUCCCA
rnacentral:lncRNA from 1 species